rnacentral:rRNA from 1 species
UACGUAGGGUGCGAGCGUUGCCCGGAUUUAUUGGGCGUAAAGGGCGCGCAGGCGGCUACGCACGUCCGUUGUGAAAUCGCUCGGCUCAACUGGGCGGGGUCAGCGGAUACGGCGUAGCUGGAGCAAGCUAGGGGGCAAUGGAAUUCCCGGUGUAGUGGUGAAAUGCGUAGAGAUCGGGAGGAACACCAGUGGCGAAGGCGGCCGGCUGGGCCGACCCUGACGCUGAGGCGCGAAGGCGUGGGGAGCGAACGGG